CCUACGGGAGGCUGCAGUGGGGAAUAUUGCACAAUGGGCGCAAGCCUGAUGCAGCCAUGCCGCGUGUGUGAAGAAGGCCUUCGGGUUGUAAAGCACUUUCAGCGGGGAGGAAGGCGUUAAGGUUAAUAACCUUGUCGAUUGACGUUACCCGCAGAAGAAGCACCGGCUAACUCCGUGCCAGCAGCCGCGGUAAUACGGAGGGUGCAAGCGUUAAUCGGAAUUACUGGGCGUAAAGCGCACGCAGGCGGUCUGUCAAGUCGGAUGUGAAAUCCCCGGGCUCAACCUGGGAACUGCAUUCGAAACUGGCAGGCUAGAGUCUUGUAGAGGGGGGUAGAAUUCCAGGUGUAGCGGUGAAAUGCGUAGAGAUCUGGAGGAAUACCGGUGGCGAAAGCGGCCCCCUGGACAAAGACUGACGCUCAGGUGCGAAAGCGUGGGGAGCAGACAGGAUUAGAUACCCCUGUAGUC
rnacentral:rRNA from 1 species